rnacentral:rRNA from 1 species
AGGCUGGUUUUCCAGGCAAAUCCGGAAAAUCAAGGCUGAGGCGUGAUGACGAGGCACUACGGUGCUGAAGCAACAAAUGCCCUGCUUCCAGGAAAAGCCUCUAAGCAUCAGGUAACAUCAAAUCGUACCCCAAACCGACACAGGUGGUCAGGUAGAGAAUACCAAGGCGCUUGAGAGAACUCGGGUGAAGGAACUAGGCAAAAUGGUGCCGUAACUUCGGGAGAAGGCACGCUGAUAUGUAGGUGAAGCGACUUGCUCGUGGAGCUGAAAUCAGUCGAAGAUACCAGCUGGCUGCAACUGUUUAUUAAAAACACAGCACUGUGCAAACACGAAAGUGGACGUAUACGGUGUGACGCCUGCCCGGUGCCGGAA